AAACCCUAAGGGAUCCUAGUUACUACUCCCCUGUAAAGAAUCUUGAUGGAUUAUCGUUGGGCCUUAGUCCCUUCAUAAUCUAUGCUUGGAAAAAACAAGAGGAGUAGUCGUUAGGAUCAAUAAGAAAAAUUCUAGGUAGAAUUCCCUAAUCUAGAUCUAGUGGAUUCAAAAACCCUAGAUCCUUAGUCUUAUUGUCUUUAGCAAACAACUUUCGACUUUCGAUUUUUGUUAAAGCUCGCUUGAGCAUAGAUUUGAAAAUCAUUUUAAAAACCAAGUCUCUGUAGGAUCGACCCGUACUCGCUGGUCGUGCUACUUUGCACACCGUGCGCUUGCGGUUUUAUUUACAAAUUUUAAGAUUUGCACAUCAC
rnacentral:lncRNA from 1 species